rnacentral:lncRNA from 1 species
CUCGCUAGCAGGCAGUUUAUAAUUUAGGGGCUCGGAGCGCCUGGAUGUUGGAUGAGGAGGAAGUUUUCAGAGCUGUGGGUGGUUUUCCUUCCUUCCUUCCUCCAGCAGACAGCGAUCCACGCCAGGAUUUCCUUCCCGCUCCCAUAUUUCGGCGAUGCAAUGUGUAGCACGUUUCUGUGUGUGUGUGUGUGUGUGUGUGUGUGUGUGUGCGCGCGCGAUGUGUGUGCGUGUGUCUCUCCCUGGCUGUGGCUGCCUACAGGAUUGCUCCCUGCCUGCUCCGGGAGCCCGCUCCGGCGCUGUGCGGAGCAGAGGUUUCCCCGGCUCCCGUCAAUACAGGCACUCGCACCACACGCAUGCACACACACACACACACACGCGCGCACGCACAGAGCCGCUGUCCAGUCCAUCCCCACGCCGCCUACUGCCUCCACCACCUCCAGCCUCGCAGCGGCGGCGGGCACAGCUCCGCGGCGGAUCGCGCCGCUGCUCACCCGGCGCUCCGCGGGCAGCCGUCUCAAUCUCCACAACCUAGAGACUGAUUUCCCCUUUUCUUUUUUUUUUUUUUUUUUCCUUUUUUUUUUUUUUUUUUCUUCCUGCUGGGGGGCGAUAGCCUUUUGCCGAGGAGGCGUGGGGACGAGGCGACGAGGCUGCCGCUCUCCUGCCUCCGCCGUGCGCGCAUGUGUGCGUGUGCGCGCCCACCUCCCCCCCGCCUCGCAAAAGUUUGCCUGGGCGGUCGGGGGGCUCCCGGCCCGCCGCCCCCGCAGCCGGGGGGUACGGCAGCGCCGCGGCGCGGAAGCGCGGGACUUGCGCGCCGCGCCAUGCCGGCUGCGCGGGGAGCUGCGCACUGGGCCCUGGCGGGGCUGCUGCUGCUGUUGCUGCUGCCGCCGCCGCCCGCGGCCGCGGGGACUGAGAGCAAAGCGCGGAGCUGCGGCGAGGUGCGGCAGGCGUACAGCGCCAAGGGCUUCAGCCUGGCCAGCGUGCCCUACCAGGAGAUCGCAGGAAAAAAAUGGGAAGAAUAUAGUUUUUGACCCAAGGGAGAUAGUUUUUGAUUAUGUGAAAUAG